CCCAGCUCGUCAUGCUAGAGCACUUUUUUAAUGUGCUCCACAACGACAAGGCGAAGACGACGCAUUCGUAUGUCAAUCCAUAUCAACUUUCGAUGUCAUUUACUGCGCCUACCAUGGUGACCAUGGGUAACGGGGAAUCAGGGUUUGAUUCCAUACAGGGACCCUGACAAACAGCUACCACAUGCAAGGAAGGCAGAAGGCGCGCAAAUGACCCACUCCCGACGCGGGGAGGUAGUGACG